rnacentral:lncRNA from 1 species
UGUAUGUUAUCUAGCCAAUUUACCCACAAUAUACAAUUGCCCACCCCUUUCAGUAAUCACCCCGAUAUUGUUUACAAAUUAUUAUAGGUCAAAUGUUACAAAAGAAGUGCAGAAAUAGGAAAUUACAACCAAAUGAAGCCUGAUCUUGACUUCCUCUCUAGGUUAUGUAAUGACCCACUUCAAUGCCAACAUUUCAAAGCCUUUCUCACAACUGGGUAGGUUAGAGUUCCAUUAGGACCUCGAGGGAUCCCGGGCAGUGCUCACACAAGAUUUAUAUAACCAAACAUAAUGAGUGCAGUGUGGAAGGGCCAACCCUUAUAUGUCCAAGUUUAGAGGGAGCUCAAGGGUCCCAAGGUAAGGCUCACAUAAAAGGGGCAAAACCUAAAUACUAAGAGUAUAGUGGAAGUGCAGAACAUAGUUUGAAAGAGAUUUAUUAGAACUAGGUUGGAAAUAGCAAGUGGCAAGGGUGAUUUGAAAACAGUUGUAGUAAUGAAACUCAAACUACACAGAAUCAGCGGUCGUACAAAAGGGGUCAAGGGAUUUUGGGGAUACAUUGUCUGUAAGCACAUGACCCUAGUGGGGGUAUGGUCUAGUCAUGCACAACAAUAGCUGAUGUUGGCAUAAUCAUAAACCAGCCAAAGGAACACAAACACAUAUAGAGGAUACGGGAGUUUGGGAUUCAUAAGGUAGCAAGUACACGACAAGUCACUGACAAAGUACACACAUAGGGAAGCAUUAAUUUAAAAGGGGAAGGGAACAUAUUACAGUAUCCUAGUAACAUAGCUUGACUGCGGAAACAUAAGCAGAACUAGACAAGAAUGACAAACUAAAGCAACUAAAGAAAGCAUGUUGUUGUUGAGGCUUAAAAAUUAACUAGGACAUAUCAAUAGAGAAGCAAAGUGCAGAAAGAAAAAGUAAGCAAGAUUCAACAAUCCCAGUAGACAAAACAGUAGCACAAGUAGUAGUAAAGAAAAGAGAGAGUUUUAAGUGUAAGUGUGUGUUCCGAACUCAAGUUGUUAGUUUCUUUGAAAGAAGAUAGGAUAGGGUAUAUAUAGUUUUGAAAUGAGUAGAAGAAUAAGGUAAAAAGUAAAGUUUUAACACAAACAUGGAAAUAAUCAUAAUCAGAAUCAAUUAACACAGGUGAUUCCCUUUAAUUAAGAAAUCACUACUUAACGGGUACUAACAUGUUUAGUUAAGGAAAGAAAUUCAUUUGGGCAGAUUGAUUAUUUCCAUAUUAGGAGGCUAUAAAAGUAUGAAGUAAAUGACCGAGUCUAAUACAAAUUAUUCUUAAUUUUUGAAAAUGAUUCAAGGUAAAAUAUCACAGUAAUUAAAGGAGAGGAAUCAAUCAAUUUAGAAAACGAAUAAAAUUAGGGCUCAUAAGAGAAUCUUUUACAAUCUGUCACAACAACGAGGGAGUCCGAAUCAUUCAAGAAAGGCUCAUGAUUCUGCUCCUUAACAUAUAAAUAGGAAGGAAUGAACAUGCAUGCAGGGUCAAACAAGUUGAAAAAAAAAGAAGCAACAGAAACAUAGAGUAGUAGUAUCUAGGAUUCAGUAGUAAAAGAGAAUUAUUUGAAGCACAGUAGUUAAGUAGUCACAUAGAACCAAAUUAAUAGGUAAGAGAGAUGGAAACAAGUAAAGGUCUCACCGUAACAAGUGAAAAAAACCCUUUAAGAAAUUAGAGUUUCAACAAUAGUCAAGUUUAAGAAAUAAUAAGAGUUUUGAACCAGAUAAGUCAAAUAAGGAAAAGAGCUUAAUCGAACAAGCAUACACUCAAACAAACAAGAUUAGUUUCAGAAUCCAGAUAAGACCAAAAAAGACCAAGAGUUUUUAACAUGCUGAAUCAGGUAGAAGGAAGGCAUAAACAAGUCGUUUGAACAUAGAGAAACCAUAAACGAUAUUGAAAAUUGACGGAGAUAUCUUUAAAAAAUGAUCUAAGAAACCAUAAUCAUUGAAAAAAUGAAGAUUCAUUCUGAAAUAAAAUCGAAGAACCUUUGAGAAAAAAGUUAAGAAGUUCGUAAAAAGCACAGAUCUAGAUUGAUCUGUAAGAAAAUCAAAAGACAUUAAAGCUAGGGUUUCAGAGAACCUAGAAAAGGUGAGAGAGGCCUUGAAAAGUUACCGAUCUAGAAGGAAAAGUCAGGGAUCUGACUUGAACGGCUAUGGAUGGUCAGAGAAGAACCAAAGAUAGAGGUUGAGCAAGGACUAUGCCAGAUCUCUUUGAGAUCUGGCCAUGAAAUCACACAAACGGCCAACAAGAGAUGUAGGAGGCCGAUAUAUAUCUCAAACGACCAUGGGAGACCAUGGAUUAGGUGGGGAUUGAGGUGGAUUAUGGUGGAAUUAGGUGGAGGUGUCUAGGUUUAUAUGAGGUUGUAGAGAGAAUUGAGAGAAGAGGGAUUCAAG